rnacentral:rRNA from 1 species
UGAGUAACGCGUAGGAAUCUACCAAGUAGUGGGGGAUAAGCCAGAGAAAUUUGGUCUAAUACCGCAUACGUUCUUCGGAAGAAAGGAGGGGAUCUUCGGACCUUUCGCUAUUUGAUGAGCCUGCGUGAGAUUAGCUUGUUGGUGAGGUAAUGGCUCACCAAGGCGACGAUCUCUAGCUGGUCUGAGAGGAUGAUCAGCCACACUGGAACUGAGACACGGUCCAGACUCCUACGGGAGGCAGCAGUGGGGAAUAUUGCACAAUGGGCGCAAGCCUGAUGCAGCCAUGCCGCGUGUGUGAAGAAGGCCCUAGGGUUGUAAAGUACUUUCAGCAGUGAGGAAAGGUUGUAAGUUAAUACCUUGCAACUGUGACGUUAACUGCAGAAGAAGCACCGGCUAACUCCGUGCCAGCAGCCGCGGUAAUACGGAGGGUGCGAGCGUUAAUCGGAAUUACUGGGCGUAAAGCGCGCGUAGGUGGAUUGGUCAGUCAGAUGUGAAAGCCCAGGGCUCAACCUUGGAACUGCACCUGAUACUGCCAGUCUAGAAUACGGUA